AGUCAGUAGCCUAUGUUAGACUAAAAUUGUGCUAAUAAUUUGGUGUUUGAUUGUUACAUACCAUUAUUGCGUAAAGCUGCAAAUAUUUAUGGAGACGCCUCUCCAGACUAGAAUCUUGUUGAAUUUUUAGGGAACUGCGUGGUGGAGCCAUAAUCUUUCAAUAAAAUGGAUUAGAUGUUGUAAUCUCAGUUUGAACGACCUGGAGGAAUAUCCUAAACUAACUUAUUUGUAUGUUGAGGCGGCUGUAGAACGUAAACUAUUUAAUUUAAUACAAUGAUCAUUAGGAUUUUAAGAAUGUUAUCAUAGAAAUGAGAAGUCAGUUUUAGAUUUGACUAUUUAUUUUUAUGAGUAGAAUAUUUGACUUUAUACAUUAAUGUUAAGCAUUAGAUCAUUUGAAACUCUUACCAACCUUGCCUACCAAGUCAUUGCUCUGCACAUAGAUAUAUCUAGCUAGUACAUGCAUGUAUGUUAUGUUAGAAGUAGAUGGAAGUAGUUAGGAUUUUUUUCUUUUUAUUUUUUUGGUGAAAGGAUAAUCUAUAUAUAUAUAUAUAUAUAUAUAGUAUAACAUAAACCCUUGGGUGUAAAUGUUGGCUAUGGAGUUCUUGAAUUGAUUUAGAUCUCCUCUUCCUUUCAUGUAGAUAUUUCUGCACUGUCACCUACCUCCAGCAAACUUGUUGGCUUGAAAACAUAUGUUUUGUUUUGAUUGUGUGCAGCCUUAUGUUUUGGUUUGAUGUUUACUUGCAUAAGUAAUAUUUUUUGCAGAGAGUUUGAAAUAAGGAUUGUAUAAUUCUGCUUAACUCAGCAGUUGGUUUGAAGGAUUGAAGUGCUAUUGUCUGAUGCAUCCUUAAGACGAGAAACAUCAAUUGAAAAAAGUGAGACGAUCUUGUGGCCACACGCUUACUUGUUCUCAACUACUUAUUUGGACUUGAAUAUCGACAACCUUUGGCUCCCUUUGAGGGAAGUGGGCGUGCACGAAGUUGGUCGAUCCCGUGCAAUAAAUUGGACUUCAUUGUUCCGUACCCAAAAAAGUGAAAAACUAAAGAUGGAACAAGGAAAGGGAGAGACACGUACGGAAGCUCCAACCCUCUUAGAACAUACGAAAAUAGGCCAGGUAACUAUUCAGAUUUUGAGAAAAGUUGUAAUUAGGACAUUUUCAAUGGGUUAUCUAAAUUUUAAUAGUCAAUAGAUAAUCAAAAUCUAUUUUUUCUAUUUUAUCUAAUAACUUGUACAAUACAUCUUACAUCAACUUAUAUA